GACGGCUCAGAUCACAUCCCGAGAUGUCACCCUGGCCCGGGCCGGUCAGGCCCUUCCACCGCAGGGCUGCCCCAUGGCAGCCAGUGACACCGCUGAGACAACUUUGCCGUGGCCUUACUUUCAUUUCCUUGGUUGUUCAGUUUAUGGCAAAAGACCCUCAGCUGUGUUUUGUUUACUAAUUCCCCUAAGCCUGCCUUAAAUCCAGACUGCCAGGGCCACAGGAAAUCUUUCAGACCCCUGACAGCCCCUCUUACAGAACAGUUUCCCAAGCAGCAGCCUGCCUGAUCCACCCUUAAUUCAGCUGUGCGUCUGACAACAUGUUCUACAGGAAAGAUAACCUUGUACAUCAGGUGUUUCCUGUUUCCAGUACCAAAAGUGUCUUCCUUUGGCUUUGGUAUCAAGGUAAUGCUGGCCUCAUAAGUUGUCUCCCUUUAUCCAUGAGGGACAUCUUCCAAGGCCCCCAGUGGAUGUCUGAAACCGCAGCAUACUUUUGUCCAUAAAGCAAAAUCCGAAGAUUAGUGUUAAGAAACAGGAUUUGGAACUCUCAGAACAAGGCCAUUGGGGGUGGAGAUUUCUUACCUAUGGCUUAAAGAGGCUUCCGAGGUGAUCGGGCAGCAUCAGUCUUCAGCUGCUAAGCCGAGAAGAUCUGGGAAGGAGUCAGUCAGAGAGCCGUGGGCCAGAGUUCCAGGGGCUCUGGGAGUGGCUGCCAGGUAAGUUGAACAGUCUGAUUUUCAGUGGGGUCCUGCACAGAUGGGACACGGCUUAGGAGGAAUCCCGGGCUGUGGGCAUUCCUUGGCCUGGUGGCCAGAUUCCGGCACUUGUAGCAAGCUCCUGGGGGUUCUGGAGGAACACUUGGCAGCUGCAGUUCAGGCAUUUGGAGUUCUUGUGUGCUGGAGAUGUGGCUGGGGUUUGUCUCAGUGCAGGCAAGGAAUUGCAAUUUAGAAAUAUGUUGCUACUUGGCUGCCUCUACUCUAAUAUUGUAUACCUUGAAGGUGAGGUUAAUUAAGUCUUGUUGUGAGGUUUGAGGGCCGGAAUUUAAUUUUUGGAGCUUUAUUUAAUGUUGGGAGCAGAUUCAGUAAUAAAAUAAAAUGUAUAUUGAGAAUAAGACGUCCUUUUGACCUUUUAGGGUCUAGGGCUGUAAAGUGUCUCAGGGUUGCUGCUAAUGGGGCCAUGAACUGGGCUGGGUUUUUUAUAGUUGAUGAAAAAGAGCUUAAACACUAACUGAUUUGGGACAGGUCGGAUAAAUAAAAAGGAGCAUUAACAUUGACUAUGCCUUUAGCUCCAGCCACCUUUUUAAGAGGAAAUUGCUGGGCAGGUGGGGGAGGGCUACUCAUGGAACGAAACUAUAAGACAGACCGGGUGUGAGUAGGGGAGGUGAUAAAAAGAUUAUAGGGUGUAGGAGCGGAGGCUGAGGAAGAAUUGGGACCUAGCUCGGCCUGGCGAGGAGGGGAGAGGUCAGAUGGGUCUGUAGAAAAGGAAGAUUAGAAAGAGUCAGCAACGCUUGGGGUUGGGAGUGAGGGGACAGGCGGGAGGGAAAGAAGGAAGAUUU
rnacentral:lncRNA from 10 species